UUAUCAGAGAGUUUGAUCCUGGCUCAGGAUGAACGCUGGCGGCGUGCUUAACACAUGCAAGUCGAACGGGAAACCUUUUAUUGAAGCUUCGGCAGAUUUAGAUUGUUUCUAGUGGCGGACGGGUGAGUAACGCGUGGGUAACCUGCCUUAUACAGGGGGAUAACAGUCAGAAAUGACUGCUAAUACCGCAUAAGCGCACAGAGCUGCAUGGCUCAGUGUGAAAAACUCCGGUGGUAUAAGAUGGACCCGCGUUGGAUUAGCUAGUUGGUGGGGUAACGGCCCACCAAGGCGACGAUCCAUAGCCGGCCUGAGAGGGUGAACGGCCACAUUGGGACUGAGACACGGCCCAGACUCCUACGGGAGGCAGCAGUGGGGAAUAUUGCACAAUGGGGGAAACCCUGAUGCAGCGACGCCGCGUGGAGGAAGAAGGUCUUCGGAUUGUAAACUCCUGUUGUUG
rnacentral:rRNA from 1 species